GGGCUUGUAGCUCAACGGUUAGAGCAGGGGACUCAUAAUCCCUUGGUUCCGGGUUCGAAUCCCGGCGGGCCCA
rnacentral:tRNA from 1 species